GUCGUGACUGCGUGCCUUUUGAAGAAUGAGCCUGCGAGUUAGCGGUGUGUAGCGAGGUUAACCCGUGUGGGGAAGCCGUAGCGAAAGCGAGUCCGAAGAGGGCGUUUGAGUUGCACGCUCUAGACCCGAAGCGGAGUGAUCUAGCCAUGGGCAGGUUAAGCGGCUGUAAGAGGUCGUGGAGGACCGAACCCACCAGGGUUGAAAACCUGGGGGAUGACCUGUGGUUAGGGGUGAAAGGCCAAUCAAACUCCGUGAUAGCUGGUUCUCCCCGAAAUGCAUUUAGGUGCAGCGUCGUGUGUUUCUUGCCGGAGGUAGAGCACUGGAUAGGCGAUGGGCCCUACCGGGUUACUGACCUUAGCCAAACUCCGAAUGCCGGUAAGUGAGAGCGCGGCAGUGAGACUGUGGGGGAUAAGCUCCAUGGUCGAGAGGGAAACAGCCCAGAGCAUCGACUAAGGCCCCUAAGCGUACGCUAAGUGGGAAAGGAUGUGGAGUCGCAGAGACAACCAGGAGGUUGGCUUAGAAGCAGCCACCCUUGAAAGAGUGCGUAAUAGCUCACUGGUCUAGUGAUUCCGCGCCGACAAUGUAGCGGGGCUCAAGCGUACCGCCGAAGUCGUGUCAUUGCAGCAUGAGGGCUAACGCCUGCUGUGAUGGGUAGGGGAGCGUCGUGUCCGGGUGAAGCAGCCGUGGAAGCGAGUUGUGGACGGUUCACGAGUGAGAAUGCAGGCAUGAGUAGCGAUUCACACGUGAGAAACGUGUGCGCCGAUUGACUAAGGGUUCCUGGGUCAAGCUGAUCUGCCCAGGGUAAGUCGGGACCUAAGGCGAGGCGACAGGCGUAGUCGAUGGAUAACCGGUUGAUAUUCCGGUACCCGCUGUGAAGCGUCAAACAUUGAAUCCAGUGAUGCUAAGCCCGUGAAGCCGUUCCGGACCCUUCGGGGAAUGGAAAGUGGUGGAGCCGGUGGCCCGAGCUGGUAGUAGGUGAGUGAUGGGGUGACGCAGGAAGGUAGUCCAUCCCGGGCGGUGGUUGUCCCGGGGUAAGGGUGUAGGACGUCAGGUAGGUAAAUCCGCCUGGCUAUAGUCUGAGACCUGAUGCCGAGCCGAUUGUGGUGAAGUGGAUGAUCCUAUGCUGUCGAGAAAAGCCUCUAGCGAGUUUCAUGGCGGCCCGUACCCUAACCGACUCAGGUGGUCAGGUAGAGAAUACCGAGGCGUUCGGGUGAACUAUGGUUAAGGAACUCGGCAAAAUGCCCCCGUAACUUCGGGAGAAGGGGGGCCAUGUCUGGUGAUCCGAUUUACUCGGUGAGCUGGGUGUGGCCGCAGAGACCAGCGAGAAGCGACUGUUUACUAAAAACACAGGUCCGUGCGAAGCCGUAAGGCGAUGUAUACGGACUGACGCCUGCCCGGUGCUGGAACGUUAAGGGGACCGGUUAGUCACAUUUCGGUGUGGCGAAGCUGAGAACUUAAGCGCCAGUAAACGGCGGUGGUAACUAUAACCAUCCUAAGGUAGCGAAAUUCCUUGUCGGGUAAGUUCCGACCUGCACGAAUGGCGUAACGACUUCUCGACUGUCUCAACCAUAGGCCCGGUGAAAUUGCAUUACGAGUAAAGAUGCUCGUUUCGCGCAGCAGGACGGAAAGACCCCGGGACCUUUACUACAGUUUGAUAUUGGUGUUCGGUUCGGCUUGUGAGGAUAGGUGGGAGACUGUGAAGCAUGCACGCCAGUGUGUGUGGAGUCGUCGUUGAAAUACCACUCUGGUCGUGCUGGAUGUCUAACCUGGGUCCGUGAUCCGGAUCAGGGACAGUGUCUGAUGGGUAGUUUAACUGGGGCGGUUGCCUCCUAAAGAGUAACGGAGGCGCCCAAAGGUUCCCUCAGCCUGGUUGGUAAUCAGGUGUUGAGUGUAAGUGCACAAGGGAGCUUGACUGUGAGACCGCGGGUCGAGCAGGGACGAAAGUCGGGACUAGUGAUCCGGCGGUGGCUUGUGGAAGCGCCGUCGCUCAACGGAUAAAAGGUACCCCGGGG
rnacentral:rRNA from 1 species